rnacentral:lncRNA from 1 species
UCCCUCCCUCCCUCCCUCCCUCUCCUCUUCCUCUCCCUCCUCCACAUCCUCCUCCUCCCUCAUCUCCACCUCCUCAUCCUCUUCACCUCCUCCUCCUCUUCACAUCUACCUCUUCACCUCCACCUCUUCCUUUUACCUCCUCCUCUUCCUCUUCCUCCACCUUCCUCUCCAACUCCUCCACCUCUUCCUCCUCCUCCCUCUCGUACUCAUCCUCCAUUUUGUACUGCAUGGUUAUAUGUUACAGUGUCUAUGUCCCUACUAUGACUGUGUUACUCACUAUAUAUGAACAUCAUGUGUACAUACGUAUUGCCUUGGCUGCUAUAGAGAGAUAUAUUUGAUUCCAAAGCCAGAUAUUGUGAUGUAGAGUGCAUUACAUACAUAUUUUUUCAUUGUUUAGAUAGUUUAUCCAUAAAGUAAAAUUGUACAAUAUUGAUAGAACUUCUAAGAAUAAUUCAUAUGCAAAACAAGUAAGCUAUAUUUCAUACAUUCAAGUCUGGGAUAAAAUGUGGUAAAAAGAAAGAAAGUGGAAUAGCUUCCUUAUAGUUUACCUGAGAAUAUAUUUUAUUUUAGUGUUGUAGUUGAAUAGUAGUAGUAGCGGUAGUAGUAGUAGUAGUGGUAGUAGUAGUAGUAGUAGUAGUAGCAGUAGUAGUAGUAAUAGUUGUAGCAGUAGUAGUAGUAGUAGUAGUAACAGUAGUAGUAGUAGUAGUAGUAGUAGUGGUAGUUGUAGCAGUAGUAGUAGUAGUAGUAGUAGUAGUAGCAGUAGCAGCAGUGGUAGUAGUGGUAGUAGUAGUAGUAACAGUAGUAGUAACAGUAGUAGUAGUUGUAGCAGUAGUAGUAGUAGUAGUAGUGGUAGUUGUAGCAGUAGCAGUAGUAGUAGUAGCAGUAGUAGUAGUAGUAGUAGUAGUAGUAGCAGUAGCAGCAGUGGUAGUAGUGGUAGUAGUAGUAGUAGUAGUAGUAGUAGUAGUAGUAGUAGCAGUAGUAGUAGUAGUAGUAGUAGUAGUGGUAGUAGUAGUAGUAGUAGCAGUAGUAGCAGUAGUAGCAGUAGUAGUAGUAGUAGUAGGAUUACCGGGUCCAGUUUAUUAGGUACACCCAUCUAGUAUCAGGCCAGUUUAUUAGGUACACCCAUCUAUAUCAGGCCAGUUUAUUAGGUACACCCAUCUAGUAUCAGGCCAGUUUAUUAGGUACACCCAUCUAGCAGGCCAGUUUAUUAGGUACACCCAUCUAGUAUCAGGCCAGUUUAUUAGGUACACCCAUCUAGUAUCCGGACAGUUUAUUAGGUACACGUGAAGGAGGAGGACGGCGAUUUAGGAGAUACCGAAUCAUACCACGCUCAAAGUCGUUUAGGUCACUCGUUUUACCCCAUUCUAACGUUCAAUAGAACAGUAACUGAAUGCCUUGAUGCCUGUCUGCCUGCUUUAUAUAGCAAGGCAGGGCCACGUAACUCACUGUCUGUAUGACAGCCAUCCAUUUUGGUGAACGUGGUUGUGUACCUAAUAAAGUGGCCGUGGUGAGUGUAGUUUAGAAUAACACAGCCAUAUCGAGUAACAACAUGUUAUCUACAACUGGCUUGAUGUGAGAGCAGGAUGAAAUCAUUAUUCAAACCCGUCAUUGGCUCGUCAUUGGCUACCAAGCCCUCAUUAGUGAGAUAGACAACCAGACAUUGGUAUUGUCUCUAAAUGCAUGUGCAGUAUACAUCACUGAGAGACUCGAAAGGCAUGACUGGAUACCAUCACUGGUGGAUCGCCAUGUCUUUCCAGUCUUUACUUAGCUAUGGAUUCAACUAUUUCCUACAUAAUGAAGUCAGUCAACCAAAUAUUUAUUUACAGCAGGUAGAAUACAAUGUAGAGGCAAACGCUAGAUUUAUUUGAAUAUAGAUUUGUACAGUGUUGUUGUUGUUGUUGUUGUAUAUAAUGCACUAUAUGUCAAUGCUAUUCUAAUGCUGUCUCUCUUGGAGAAGGGACCCCUGAUCAAAUGAAAUGGAAUUCAGAAUCACUGUUUCAAAAGGCUUCUUCGUGAACAAUCUAGAACAUUCUAUGGAAUUAUAGAAUCACAGAACAACCGAAGGGACGGAAUCAGCUGACGUGGACUAACCUGAGCUGAACUGUCUCCAACUAGCAAACAUAGAUUUACUUUUAUAAAAAUGGGGUUAUAUAUAAGAGAACAGAGAGAGUUUUCAAUGAGUGAAUUUUUUGAUGUUGUUGUUGAUAAUAAUCAUUGGUUGCUAAUAAAAAAUGUACAUCCUGAUACUAUUGCAAAUUAUAUCCAGUAAACACUAUUGUUUUGGAUA